UUGGAGGGCAAGUCUGGUGCCAGCAGCCGCGGUAAUUCCAGCUCCAAUAGCGUAUAUUAAAGUUGCUGCAGUUAAAAAGCUCGUAGUUGAAUUUCGGGACCAUCAUGUCGGUCGUGCCUCGGUACGUACUGGCAUUGUUGGUUUCUCCCUUCUGACGAACCAUGAUGUCAUUUAUUUGGUGUUGUGGGGAAUCAGGACUGUUACUUUGAAAAAAUUAGAGUGUUUAAAGCAGGCUCACGCUUGAAUACAUUAGCAUGGAAUAAUGAAAUAGGACGUUUGAUUCUAUUUUGUUGGUUUCUAGGAUCGACGUAAUGAUUAAUAGGGAUAGUUGGG
rnacentral:sRNA from 1 species